CUGAUGGAGCACGCCGCGUGUGUGAUGAAGGCUUUCGGGUCGUAAAGCACUGUUGUAUGGGAAGAAAUGCUAAAAUAGGGAAUGAUUUUAGUUUGACGGUACCAUACCAGAAAGGGACGGCUAAAUACGUGCCAGCAGCCGCGGUAAUACGUAUGUCCCGAGCGUUAUCCGGAUUUAUUGGGCGUAAAGCGAGCGCAGACGGUUGAUUAAGUCUGAUGUGAAAGCCCGGAGCUCAACUCCGGAAUGGCAUUGGAAACUGGUUAACUUGAGUGUUGUAGAGGUAAGUGGAACUCCAUGUGUAGCGGUGGAAUGCGUAGAUAUAUGGAAGAACACCAGUGGCGAAGGCGGCUUACUGGACAACAACUGACGUUGAGGCUCGAAAGUGUGGGUAGCAAACAGGAUUAGAUACCCUGGUAGUCCACACCGUAAACGAUGAAUACUAGGUGUUAGGAGGUUUCCGCCUCUUAGUGCCGAAGCUAACGCAUUAAGUAUUCCGCCUGGGGAGUACGACCGCAAGGUUGAAACUCAAAGGAAUUGACGGGGACCCGCACAAGCGGUGGAGCAUGUGGUUUAAUUCGAAGCAACGCGAAGAACCUUACCAGGUCUUGACAUCCUUUGAAGCUUUUAGAGAUAGAAGUGUUCUCUUCGGAGACAAAGUGACAGGUGGUGCAUGGUCGUCGUCAGCUCGUGUCGUGAGAUGUUGGGUUAAGUCCCGCAACGAGCGCAACCCUUAUUGUUAGUUGCCAGCAUUCAGUUGGGCACUCUAGCGAGACUGCCGGUGACAAACCGGAGGAAGGCGGGGACGACGUCAGAUCAUCAUGCCCCUUAUGACCUGGGCUACACACGUGCUACAAUGGCGUAUACAACGAGUUGCCAACCUGCGA
rnacentral:rRNA from 1 species